UAGUAAGAAGUAAAUAAUACAUUUAGUUUCGACCUAAAAUAUAGAGAAUAAUUAUUCUCCUUACUUU
rnacentral:tRNA from 1 species